rnacentral:lncRNA from 1 species
CGGGCGUUCCUUUCGUGUCCCCUUGAAAGCCCGGUCCUUGGGCUUGGAAUGAGACGGUUUGGGUAAUUAUGGGAGUGUGGCGAGACCCUGACUUCCUUCAGCAAAGAGACAGCUUCUGAUUCAUGUUCGUCUCACCAUAAUCAGUCCUUGAAGGCUCACCUAUCCUCGUGGCUGCAGCCAUUUCCCUCUCUGCAGAUACUUCCAAAAGUUACACUAGAUGUUAACUGAGCACUAAGGACACUACGUGAAAGACUGGAGUACAAACAUCCAAAGGACUGAAGAAUUUGAAGAGCACUGAAUGUGGGAGAUAGGACAGAGGAAAGGAGUCAAAUGUCUCCAAGAAACGAAGCCUGUGUGCCCUGGAGAAUGAAGAAGCAUCAUCAAAUCGGGGAGACUGAAGGAGGAAUCGGUUUUCAGAGAAAAACAAUUUAUAUUGUCUUAGCUGUGUUAGGUGGCAUACUAUUACAUUCAAGUGAAGCUGUGUAAUAGACAGAGAUGACAAAUUUUAUUCAUUUAUGAAUGCCCCCCAAAAUAUAUAUAUAGUUUUUGC